UUCAUUCAGAUUCCCUAAUACAGACAAGUCCCAUCAACGAACCCUCCAAGCUGAGCGUCGGUUGGUCCGGCUCCCAGAGAACAAGACUGAAGAGCCAAGUACAACAAAGAGUAUGGAGGCUGCCGGAUGUCCUGCGUAACCCAAGUCCGGAUGACUGUAAGACAUCGGCGUGGGUGGGAGUGUGCGUGCGGGCGACCACGAAGGGAUUGCGUGUACGUGAGCUCACUGUCCGCUGCACCGGCUCGGAGAAUGCGCGUGACGCCGGGACGUCGACUUUCGCGAUAAAACCGUGCCGACACCAGCCUUGUGUCGCCAGGACAGAAGACUCCGUUGGAAACUACCGAAACCUGGUCGCAGGUUCCGUGUAAUGAUGGCACUGUCAUCGUUCCCAAUGGCCUUGCUCACCGUGGUGCUUAUGGGGGAUGCUGUCGUCAGCAAUCAGUUCUACUCUGUGUACUACCACAUUCGCCUGCUGGAAACCGACCGGGUCUACGGCUGCCUGCAGUGCUUCAAGAUGCCCUGUGCACAACGGGAGAUACGGGCACGGCCGCUAGAAGGACCAUUGCAGUGCUGCCGUGCUUGCACCGUUGUUGGUCCCGGAAGAGAGUGCUCCGUUUAUCGUGAGCAUACAGCGAUCGUUUGCGACAAAGCACACGUCUGCGACACCAACACACAAGUUUGCGUGAAAGAGCGAGACCGUUGACUGGAUAUGCAUUGAUACAAAAUAAAAAUCGGCCGACAUCAGCCA
rnacentral:lncRNA from 1 species